GACUCGGACCCAUGCGGCCCUGACGCCUCAACCUGGUCAGGACCGGAAGGGAGCAGCCAUACGGGAUGCUCAGAGCAGGCGUGGGGCCCGGGUCACC
rnacentral:SRP_RNA from 2 species